rnacentral:rRNA from 1 species
GACAGAGGGUGCAAACGUUGUUCGGAAUUACUGGGCGUAAAGCGCGUGUAGGCGGCCGCACAGGUCGGAUGUGAAAUCCCUCGGCUCAACCAAGGAAGUGCAUUCGAAACCGUGCGGCUAGAGUCUCGGAGAGGAAGGUGGAAUUGUCGGUGUAGAGGUGAAAUUCGUAGAUAUCGACAGGAACAUCGGCGGCGAAAGCGGCCUUCUGGACGAAGACUGACGCUGAGACGCGAAAAUGCGGGGAGCAAACAGGAUUAGAUACCCUGGUAGUCCGCACCGUAAACGAUGGGUGCUAGAUGUCACGGGCUUUGACCCCUGUGGCGUCGUAGCCAACGCGUUAAGCACCCCGCCUGGGAAGUACGGCCGCAAGGCUAAAACUCA